UCUUCAUGUAUGUUCUUAUGAGGCUCUUGAAUGAUAUUCUGUAUUUUGUUCUUUAUUUUGCAUAAUUUUCUGACAGAGGGCCUAAGGUCUACACUAAACAGAAAACUGGGCAGCAUUUUUUUUUUUUUUUUUUUUUGAGUUACCAUAUUUUCAGCUAAUCAGAGUACUUUCUCUCUACUUCCUCUCUCUUAGGACUCACCUGUCAGAGAACAAUUGUGAAGACAUUAAUUUGAGCAUAUCACAUCCUGAGCAUUAAGAAGACUAUAUCUGCUAAUACACCCAUCCUUGUUGACUAUUUACGGUUUUACCCAACUCCUGAGUGCUAUGGUCAGUGCCACCAAGUUCAUGGGUCUGGCAGUGAUGGGAAAAUGGAGAUGCAUUUCUUGCAGUCCAGCUAAUGGUGUGGCCAUGGUGCUGCUGCUGCUGCUGCUGCUAAGUCACUUCAGUCGUGUCCAACUCUGUGCGACCCCAGAGACGGCCGCCCACCAGGCUCCCCCUUCCCUGGGAUUCUCCAGACAAGGACACUGGAGUGGAUUGCCAUUUCCUUCUCCAAUGCAUGAAAAUGAAAAGUGA
rnacentral:lncRNA from 1 species